UUUAUGGAGAGUUUGAUCCUGGCUCAGGAUGAACGCUGGCGGCGUGCCUAAUACAUGCAAGUCGAGCGAACAGACAAGGAGCUUGCUCCUUUGACGUUAGCGGCGGACGGGUGAGUAACACGUGGGUAACCUACCUAUAAGACUGGGAUAACUUCGGGAAACCGGAGCUAAUACCGGAUAAUAUUUCGAACCGCAUGGUUCGAUAGUGAAAGAUGGUUUUGCUAUCACUUAUAGAUGGACCCGCGCCGUAUUAGCUAGUUGGUAAGGUAACGGCUUACCAAGGCGACGAUACGUAGCCGACCUGAGAGGGUGAUCGGCCACACUGGAACUGAGACACGGUCCAGACUCCUACGGGAGGCAGCAGUAGGGAAUCUUCCGCAAUGGGCGAAAGCCUGACGGAGCAACGCCGCGUGAGUGAUGAAGGUCUUCGGAUCGUAAAACUCUGUUAUUAGGGAAGAACAUACGUGUAAGUAACUAUGCACGUCUUGACGGUACUUAAUCAGAAAGCCACGGCUAACUACGUGCCAGCAGCCGCGGUAAUACGUAGGUGGCAAGCGUUAUCCGGAAUUAUUGGGCGUAAAGCGCGCGUAGGCGGUUUUUUAAGUCUGAUGUGAAAGCCCACGGCUCAACCGUGGAGGGUCAUUGGAAACUGGAAAACUUGAGUGCAGAAGAGGAAAGUGGAAUUCCAUGUGUAGCGGUGAAAUGCGCAGAGAUAUGGAGGAACACCAGUGGCGAAGGCGACUUUCUGGUCUGUAACUGACGCUGAUGUGCGAAAGCGUGGGGAUCAAACAGGAUUAGAUACCCUGGUAGUCCACGCCGUAAACGAUGAGUGCUAAGUGUUAGGGGGUUUCCGCCCCUUAGUGCUGCAGCUAACGCAUUAAGCACUCCGCCUGGGGAGUACGACCGCAAGGUUGAAACUCAAAGGAAUUGACGGGGACCCGCACAAGCGGUGGAGCAUGUGGUUUAAUUCGAAGCAACGCGAAGAACCUUACCAAAUCUUGACAUCCUUUGACAACUCUAGAGAUAGAGCCUUCCCCUUCGGGGGACAAAGUGACAGGUGGUGCAUGGUUGUCGUCAGCUCGUGUCGUGAGAUGUUGGGUUAAGUCCCGCAACGAGCGCAACCCUUAAGCUUAGUUGCCAUCAUUAAGUUGGGCACUCUAAGUUGACUGCCGGUGACAAACCGGAGGAAGGUGGGGAUGACGUCAAAUCAUCAUGCCCCUUAUGAUUUGGGCUACACACGUGCUACAAUGGACAAUACAAAGGGCAGCGAAACCGCGAGGUCAAGCAAAUCCCAUAAAGUUGUUCUCAGUUCGGAUUGUAGUCUGCAACUCGACUACAUGAAGCUGGAAUCGCUAGUAAUCGUAGAUCAGCAUGCUACGGUGAAUACGUUCCCGGGUCUUGUACACACCGCCCGUCACACCACGAGAGUUUGUAACACCCGAAGCCGGUGGAGUAACCAUUUGGAGCUAGCCGUCGAAGGUGGGACAAAUGAUUGGGGUGAAGUCGUAACAAGGUAGCCGUAUCGGAAGGUGCGGCUGGAUCACCUCCUUU
rnacentral:rRNA from 1 species